rnacentral:rRNA from 1 species
GAGGGAGUUUCGAGUUUUAUUGCCGUUUUUGGUGAUUUUCUUGUAUUCCCUUGAAUUAUUAUACGCUGUUAACAAUGAUGAACGUGCUCUGUGCCGCAAGGCCAUUAAUAUAAUACAACUUUUAACAACGGAUCUCUUGGCUCUCGCAUCGAUGAAGAACGCAGCGAAAUGCGAUAAGUAAUGUGAAUUGCAGAAUUCAGUGAAUCAUCGAAUCUUUGAACGCACCUUGCGCUCCCUGGUAUUCCGGGGAGCACGCCUGUUCGAGUGUCGCGAAAUUUCUCAAGCUUGGAUGGCCUUUUUGUCUGUCCUUAGCCUUGGUUGUUGGGCUUUGCCGUGUCCUUUGUUGGGACGGCUGGCCUUAAAAGCAUUAGCUGAUCCUCGUGUGGCACUGGUUCUACUCAGCGUGAUAACAGUCUGAUCGCUGAGGA